rnacentral:rRNA from 1 species
AGAACGAACGCUGGCGGCAUGCCUAACACAUGCAAGUCGAACGCUCCUGGGGCUUCGGUCUCAGGGGAGUGGCGCACGGGUGAGUAGCGCGUGGGAACCUGCCCUGUUGUGGGGGAUAACCGAGGGAAACUUCGGCUAAUACCGCAUAAGCCGGUUGUCUUGAAAGAGAUGGCCGGGAAAGAUUUAUCGCGACAGGAGGGGCCCGCGUCGGAUUAGCUAGUUGGUGGGUAACGCCCACCAAGGCAGUGAUCCGUAGCUGGUCUGAGAGGAUGAUCAGCCACACUGGGACUGAGACACGGCCCAGACUCCUACGGGAGGCAGCAGUGGGGAAUAUUGGACAAUGGGCGCAAGCCUGAUCCAGCAAUGCCGCGUGAGUGAUGAAGGCCUUAGGGUUGUAAAGCUCUUUCGCCCGCGACGAUGAUGACGGUAGCGGGAGAAGAAGCCCCGGCUAACUUCGUGCCAGCAGCCGC